rnacentral:rRNA from 1 species
AGCGAACGCUGGCGGCAGGCUUAACACAUGCAAGUCGAGCGGGCACUUUCGGGUGUCAGCGGCGGACGGGUGAGUAACGCGUGGGAACGUGCCCUCUGGUUCGGAAUAACUCAGGGAAACUUGAGCUAAUACCGGAUACGCCCUUUUGGGGAAAGGCUUGCUGCCGGAGGAUCGGCCCGCGUCUGAUUAGCUAGUUGGUGAGGUAACGGCUCACCAAGGCGACGAUCAGUAGCUGGUCUGAGAGGAUGAUCAGCCACACUGGGACUGAGACACGGCCCAGACUCCUACGGGAGGCAGCAGUGGGGAAUAUCGGACAAUGGGCGCAAGCCUGAUCCAGCCAUGCCGCGUGAGUGAUGAAGGCCUUAGGGUUGUAAAGCUCUUUUAUCCGGGACGAUAAUGACGGUACCGGAGGAAUAAGCCCCGGCUAACUUCGUG